UAGGCAUUUUCUCUUGGCAUG
rnacentral:miRNA from 1 species